rnacentral:rRNA from 1 species
UACGAAGGGGGCUAGCGUUGUUCGGAAUUACUGGGCGUAAAGCGCGCGCAGGCGGUUUUUCAAGUCAGUGGUGAAAGCCCGGAGCUCAACUCCGGAACUGCCAUUGAAACUGUAAAACUUGAGGACGAGAGAGGUGAGUGGAAUUCCCAGUGUAGAGGUGAAAUUCGUAGAUAUUCGGAAGAACACCAGUGGCGAAGGCGGCUCACUGGUCCGGUACUGACGCUGAGGCGCGAAAGCUAGGGUAGCAAACGGG